rnacentral:rRNA from 1 species
UUUCCAGACUCCUACGGGAGGCAGCAGUGGGGAAUAUUGCACAAUGGGGGAAACCCUGAUGCAGCGACGCCGCGUGAGUGAAGAAGUAUUUCGGUAUGUAAAGCUCUAUCAGCAGGGAAGAAAUAGCGACCUUUGGGUCGCCAGACGGUACCUGAUUAAGAAGCCCCGGCUAACUACGUGCCAGCAGCCGCGGUAAUACGUAGGGGGCAAGCGUUAUCCGGAUUUACUGGGUGUAAAGGGAGCGUAGACGGCGAUGCAAGCCAGAUGUGAAAGCCCGCGGCUCAACUGCGGUAGUGCAUUUGGAACUGUAUGGCUGGAGUGCAGGAGAGGCAGGCGGAAUUCCUAGUGUAGCGGUGAAAUGCGUAGAUAUUAGGAGGAACACCAGUGGCGAAGGCGGCCUGCUGGACUGUAACUGACGUUGAGGCUCGAAAGCGUGGGGAGCAAACAGGAUUAGAUACCCUCGUA